rnacentral:rRNA from 1 species
GACGAACGCUGGCGGCGUGCUUAACACAUGCAAGUCGAACGGUGAAGGGACCGGUUUUUGCUGGUUCUGGAUGAGUGGCGAACGGGUGAGUAACACGUGAGUAACCUGCCCCCUUCUUCUGGAUAACCGCAUGAAAGUGUGGCUAAUACGGGAUAUUCUGCGCCUGCUGCAUGGUGGGUGUGGGAAAGAUAUUGUUUCGGUGGGGGAUGGGCUCGCGGCCUAUCAGCUUGUUGGUGGGGUGAUGGCCUACCAAGGCGGUGACGGGUAGCCGGCCUGAGAGGGUGGACGGGCACACUGGGACUGAGACACGGCCCAGACUCCGACGGGAGGCAGCAGUGGGGAAUAGUGCACAAUGGGCGCAAGCCUGAUGCAGCGACGCCGCGUGAGGGAUGGAGGCCUUCGGGUUGUAAACCUCUUUCGCCAGUGAAGCAGGCCUGUCCCUUUUGUGGGUGGGUUGACGGUAGCUGGAGAAGAAGCGCCGGCUAACUACGUG